CAAAGUCUGCCUUACAGGACGUAAAGGACAGAAACCAAGAAUGCCAUCAUUAAUUCAAAGAUACUUGAAGGCUGAGAUGAGAACCUUUUGGCUUCUCAGGGCCAAUUUAUUUCCCUAGAAAGGAGGACUACAACAGGUAACACCAGUUUGCAUUUUUUGUAUAAUGA
rnacentral:lncRNA from 1 species